UACGUAGGGUGCAAGCGUUGUCCGGAUUUAUUGGGCGUAAAGAGCUCGUAGGCGGUUUGUCGCGUCGGAUGUGAAAACCCAGGGCUCAACCCUGGGCCUGCAUUCGAUACGGGCAAACUAGAGUAUGGCAGGGGAGACUGGAAUUCCUGGUGUAGCGGUGAAAUGCGCAGAUAUCAGGAGGAACACCGGUGGCGAAGGCGGGUCUCUGGGCCGAUACUGACGCUGAGGAGCGAAAGCGUGGGGAGCGAACAGG
rnacentral:rRNA from 1 species